CUUGAUGGAGCCCAGCCACAGCGGCUGGUCCUCCGGCCGUUCCUGGCCGUAGGUGGCCAGCAGGGCCUGCGCCUC
rfam:Streptomyces zinciresistens K42 contig00003, whole genome shotgun sequence.